GCUGCGGGUUCGAGCCCCGUCAGUCCCGACAAAUCCAAUAAUCAAUAA
rnacentral:tRNA from 1 species